rnacentral:rRNA from 1 species
UUGCCAGCCCGCUCAGAAACUUAAAGGAAUUGACGGGGCCCGCACAAGCGGAGGAGCAUGUGGUUUAAUUCGAUGAUACGCGAGGAACCUUACCUGGGCUCGAACGUAAGAUGACUGUAGGUGAAAGCUUACAUCUCUUCGGAGCAUUUUACGAGGUGCUGCAUGGUUGUCGUCAGCUCGUGCCGUGAGGUGUCGGGUUAAGUCCCAUAACGAGCGCAACCCCUACCUUUAGUUGCCAUCAGGUUAAGCUGGGGACUCCAAAGGAACUGCCUACGCAAGUAGUGAGGAAGGCGGGGAUGACGUCAAAUCAGCACGGCCCUUACGUCCAGGGCUACACACGUGCUACAAUGGCCGAUACAGAGGGCAGCUACCUGGUGACAGGAUGCAAAUCUCCAAAGUCGGUCUCAGUUCGGAUCGGAGUCUGCAACCCGACUCCGUGAAGUUGGAUUCGCUAGUAAUCGCGCAUCAGCCAUGGCGCGGUGAAUACGUUCCCGGGCCUU